ACGGGUGAGUAAUAUAUAGGUAACCUGCCCUUUGGUUUGGAAUAACUCGUCGAAAGGCGAGCUAAUACUGAACGAUGCAGCGGCUCCACAUGGAGAUGUUGUUAAAGCCUUCGGGCGCCAAAGGGUGGGCCUGUAUCCCAUUAGAUAGUUGGCGAGGUAACGGCUCACCAAGUCAAUGAUGGGUAGCUGAUCUGAGAGGAUGAUCAGCCACACUGGAACUGAGACACGGUCCAGACUCCUACGGGAGGCAGCAGUGAGGAAUAUUGCGCAAUGGAUGAAAGUCUGACGCAGCGACGCCGCGUGGAGGAUGAAGGCCCUUUGGGUUGUAAACUCCUGUAGAGUGGGAAGAAUAUCCCUUUUGAAGGGUUUGACGGUACCACUAAAGUAAGGAUCGGCUAACUACGAGCCAGCAGCCGCGGUAAUACGUAGGAUCCGAGCGUUGUCCGGAAUUACUGGGUGUAAAGGGAGCGCAGGCGGGUCUAUAAGUCGACGGUGAAAUCUUCCAGCUCAACUGGAAAACUGCCGCCGAUACUGUAGAUCUUGAAUAUGUCAGAGGGAAACGGAAUUCAUGGUGUAGCGGUGAAAU
rnacentral:rRNA from 1 species